GGGAAUUUUGGGCAAUGGGCGAAAGCCUGACCCAGCAACGCCGCGUGAAGGAUGAAGUAUUUCGGUAUGUAAACUUCGAAAGAAUAGGAAGAAUAAAUGACGGUACUAUUUAUAAGGUCCGGCUAACUACGUGCCAGCAGCCGCGGUCAUACGGAGGGAGCAAGCGUUGUUCGGAUUUACUGGGCGUAAAGGGCGCGUAGGCGGCAAAUCAAGUCAGCUGUGAAAUCUCCGAGCUUAACUCGGAACGGUCAGCUGAUACUGUUUUGCUAGAGUGCAGAAGGGGCAAUCGGAAUUCUUGGUGUAGCGGUGAAAUGCGUAGAUAUCAAGAGGAACACCUGAGGUGAAGACGGGUUGCUGGGCUGACACUGACGCUGAGGCGCGAAAGCCAGGGGAGCAAA
rnacentral:rRNA from 1 species